ACUGCCUUGCAGGUGUUGCAGGUAGGGCUGCUGUAUCACACAUGCGUCAGCAGGUGGCAGAGGGUAGAGAUGCUGUGUCUACACUCAGUGUGCUCACCUGUGAACACCCAGAUGAUUAGCAGUUUAACAUU